UGUGACGACACGGUUCAGGACGAACAUACCCCUCGGAAUGGGAGAGUAUAUGGCGUAUGUACCUAUUUCGAGGGUUUUUGGAACGGCGGUGUCCUUAAAAAGUGUUGGAGCAACACCAGAGUCGAAAGUGAGUGGUGGGAGGACAUCUUGGCCGUUUUUUGCAGCGAAAAGCAAAAAAAAAGUACAAGGGAAGCUUUCACUAGUGAAUUGCUGCGGGUUGAGCAGGGAGUGGGUGCUAAAAGGAUGUUUAAAAAUGUGGUUUUAAGGUAUAACAGUUACUGAUAACGCUCCGGACAAAUGUGUUCCUAUUGUGCAUGUAACGUGUGUCCGAAGAAUUCAUUCCGUUGAAUGCUUUCACCACCAGCCCAGAUGAUAAGCCCUUAUCAGUGCAUUACGUGAAAUUUGUUUGAACUACAUUUUUCUUAUCGGGUUCAAACGGUAAGGUGAAGCAUGCGGACGCAAAGUGUUCGAGAUAGGUGCGAUGAGAAGCUGACUGUAACACAUGGGUUCGAUUUCGAUGUGAAAUACUGUCUAUGAGCAGAGUGAUGUCAAAAUAAAACAUUAUUAGAUUAAAGGUUUAUUAAAGUUAAAUGUGUGACAUAUAAA